rnacentral:rRNA from 1 species
UGCUCUGGCUGACGAGUGGCGCACGGGUGAGUAAUAGAUAGAUAAUGUACCCCUUAGUCUGGGAUAGCCACUGGAAACGGUGAUUAAUACUGGAUACGCCUUUUUAGCGUAAGCUAAUUUGGGAAAGGUCUUUCGCUAAGGGAUCAGUCUAUCUCCCAUCAGUUAGUUGGUGAGGUAAGAGCUCACCAAGACGAUGACGGGUAGCGGGUUUGAGAGGAUGAUCCGCCACACUGGAACUGAGACACGGUCCAGACUCCUACGGGAGGCAGCAGUGAGGAAUAUUGCACAAUGGGGGGAAACCCUGAUGCAGCAACGCCGCGUGGAGGAUGACGCAUUUCGGUGUGUAAACUCCUUUUAUCAGAGAAGAACAUGACGGUAUCUGAUGAAUAAGCUCCGGCUAACUCCGUGCCAGCAGCCGCGGUAAUACGGAGGGAGCAAGCGUUAUUCGGAAUCACUGGGCGUAAGGACGCGUAGGCGGGUUAGUAAGUCAGGNGUGAAAUCCUACAGCUCACUGUANACUGCNCUUGAACUACUGACCUAAAGUAUGGAAGGGCA